GAUGUUGAUGUGGUGUUCGAAAGGGAGGUAUAAGUCUCUUUAUAUAUAGAUUUUUGCUCUUUUAAUUAAAUGGAAAUUUUACAUUAUGGAGAGAAGACUUUUUUAGUGAAAAAUGGUAACUUUUUUAAUGUAAAAUAGUAAUUUCACAUAUGUUUAAUGUAGUAUUUCCAUUUCUUUUGUUGUAUAUUUACAUAUUAUUUAUUAUUUUGGAAAUUAUUUUUAGCAGUGAUAUUAAAAUGUAUACUAUAAAUUGUAUCAAUAUUCCAAAAAUGUAAAACUAUACAUUAGAUCAAUAUUUUUGGUGAUAUGAUUUUUUUAAGUAAAAAUGGUAAUUUAUAAAUGUAAAAUGGUAAUCUUACAUUAUUAAUGUAGUAUUUUAAUUUUUAUGUUAUA
rnacentral:lncRNA from 1 species